GACGAACGCUGGCGGCGCGCUUAACACAUGCAAGUCGAACGGAAAGGCCUGCUUUCCCUUGUGGAUUGCGGGUACUCGAGUGGCGAACGGGUGAGUAACACGUGAGUGAUCUGCCCCCAACUUGGGUAUAAGCCUGGGAAACUGGGUCUAAUUCCCGAUAGGACUGCAGGGUGGUGCCUGUGGUGGAAAACGAUUUUCUAGUGGUUGGGGAUGAGCUCGCGGCCUAUCAGCUUGUUGGUGGGGUAAUGGCCUACCACGGCGGCGACGGGUAGCCGGCCUGAGAGGGUGGACGGCCACAUUGGGACUGAGAUACGGCACAGACUCCUACGGGAGGCAGCAGUGGGGAAUAUUGCACAAUGGGCGGAAGCCUGAUGCAGCGACGCAGCGUGGGGGAUGACGGCCUUCGGGUUGUAAACUCCUUUCGACCGCGAGGAAGCCACCUGGUUGGAAGGGUGGUGACGGUAGUGGUAGAAGAAGCACCGGCUAACUACGUG
rnacentral:rRNA from 1 species